rnacentral:rRNA from 1 species
UGGGGAAUAUUGCACAAUGGGCGCAAGCCUGAUGCAGCCAUGCCGCGUGUGUGAAGAAGGCCUUCGGGUUGUAAAGCACUUUCAGCGAGGAGGAAGGGUGGUGUGUUAAUAGCGCAUCACAUUGACGUUACUCGCAGAAGAAGCACCGGCUAACUCCGUGCCAGCAGCCGCGGUAAUACGGAGGGUGCAAGCGUUAAUCGGAAUUACUGGGCGUAAAGCGCACGCAGGCGGUUUGUUAAGUCAGAUGUGAAAUCCCCGCGCUUAACGUGGGAACUGCAUUAGAAACUGGCAAGCUAGAGUCUUGUAGAGGGGGGUAGAAUUCCAGGUGUAGCGGUGAAAUGCGUAGAGAUCUGGAGGAAUACCGGUGGCGAAGGCGGCCCCCUGGACAAAGACUGACGCUCAGGUGCGAAAGCGUGGGGAGCAAACA